rnacentral:rRNA from 1 species
CCAUGCUAGUUGCACGAGUUCACACUCGUAGCAGAUAGCUCAGUAACACGUGGCCAAACUACCCUCUGGAGCACGAUAACCUCGGGAAACUGAGGCUAAUAGUGCAUACCGCUCGACGCCUGGAACUGGCUCGAGCCUCAAAUGCUCCGGCGCCAGAGGAUGUGGCUGCGGCCGAUUAGGUAGACGGUGGGGUAACGGCCCACCGUGCCGAUAAUCGGUACGGGUUGUGAGAGCAAGAGCCCGGAGACGGUAUCUGAGACAAGAUACCGGGCCCUACGGGGCGCAGCAGGCGCGAAACCUUUACACUGCACGCCAGUGCGAUAAGGGGACUCCAAGUGCGAGGGCAUAACGUCCUCGCUUUUCUCGACCGUAAGGUGGUCGAGGAAUAAGGGCUGGGCAAGACCGGUGCUAGCCGCCGCGGUAAUACCGGCAGCCCAAGUGAUGGCCGCUCUUAUUGGGCCUAAAGCGUCCGUAGCUGGCCGCGCAAGUCCAUCGGGAAAUCUGUCCGCUUAACGGACAGGCGUCCGGUGGAAACUGUGCGGCUUGGGACCGGAAGACCAGAGGGGUACGUCCGGGGUAGGAGUGAAAUCCUGUAAUCCUGGACGGACCACCGGUGGCGAAAGCGCCUCUGGAAGACGGAUCCGACGGUGAGGGACGAAAGCUCGGGUCACGAACCGGAUUAGAUACCCGGGUAGUCCGAGCUGUAAACGAUGUCUGCUAGGUGUGGCACAGGCUACGAGCCUGUGCUGUGCCGUAGGG